UUUCCAGAUCAGCAAUGUUUGCCUUUGUUUUUCCACUCAGGGCAAACAUUGCUGAUCUGGAAA
rnacentral:miRNA from 1 species